UCAUGUGGUAUGACAAAAUCAAACUCGUUCGUGAUGCAGCACCAAUGGGACAAUUCAUUGAGAAAUAGAACAGAUCUAUAGGGAGAGGGAAUUAAAGAGAAGAAUGGGGAAUUAAAGAGGGGAAGAAGAAGAAUUUAAUAGAAGAGGGCAGAAUAAGGGGAGGGAUGCGCCAUAAGCCACCAAAAUAAUUAUCCAUUCAUCAUCAACUGUCUCAAAUGAGAAACAAAACAGAAAUAAAUAGUAGAACACAAACCCUAAAGAGAAGGGCUUGGGCCAAACCCACUAAACAAGCCCAAUAACAGAAAUAUAAAUAAUAAUCCAAAUAGAAUAUAACUAAUAGUCCAAAAAGAAAAUAAAUAGUAAAUGGAAGAAAAUAAAUAGUAAAUGGAUGUCCGCAUCAACUCUCUCGGGGUGGGAGAAAAACUCGACCCCGUCGAGUGGAUAAAUUAAAAUGUUGCAAUGAAUCUGAUGCUAAAGGCUCCAAGUUAUGCCAUGGGGGACGAUCUCUCUGACGAACCAAAUAUCGAAAUUCCACAAAUGGUGACGAUGCCAAUUGCAAAUUACCCGCAAAAACAUGAGCUGACCAAGAUAACUUAGGCGAGUGAGAAUUUUGCUGACUCUUAUAAAGCUCCAAUAAAUUUGGCUCACACUGCUGAAGUCUCUCUUUGGGAAUCCAUGUGCCGUCAGAAUCAAGUCGAUCCAUCCAACGAACAAGAAAGUUUUGAAU
rnacentral:lncRNA from 1 species